rnacentral:rRNA from 1 species
UACGUAGGGGGCAAGCGUUGUCCGGAUUUAUUGGGCGUAAAGAGCGUGUAGGCGGCUUGGUAGGUCCGCUGUGAAAACUCGAGGCUCAACCUCGAGAUGUCGGCGGAAACCGCUUGGCUAGAGUCCGGAAGAGGAGAGUGGAAUUCCCGGUGUAGCGGUGAAAUGCGCAGAUAUCGGGAAGAACACCCGUGGCGAAGGCGGCUCUCUGGGACGGUACUGACGCUGAGACGCGAAAGCGUGGGGAGCGAACAGG